rnacentral:lncRNA from 1 species
UAAAAAGGUAACGAGUCGACUAACGAGACUCGAGAAACAUUCAAUAUGUUUUCAACAAGUUGAAGUUACAAACAAGUUUUUCUUAAUUCUUACUAUUACAGUUAUUGAAAGUUUAAAUAAAUGUUUUUUUAUUAUGAUAUUAGUAAUGGAAGACAGUUAAACCGUAAUCAACAUAUUUUAAUUCAGUUAUAAUUUGAGACGUAAAAAAAAUUGAGAGUGAAAAUGGGGAAUGUGUCAUAGAGACAAUAACCAGAUCUUAGAGCAGACAACAGUCGAAGGUUACCAAUGGAUCUUUAAUGCAGGGAGAAACUCCUACACUCAAAGGAUUGCUUUUGCUGGCCCCUUAACACAAUAACCAUGAUAACAAAAAUGUAAACUAUUUCAACUAGUAGUCACUUGUUCAGGUGGAACUUUUAAACCAGAGGAAGAACAAAGUAACUACAAUGUAGUUAAUAAGUUCUGGAGAACUUUUCGGCUAGUUAGUUCUUUCCGCCUGGAACUUUACAACUUCGGAACAAAAGAGCAUUUACAAUAACUUGGACAUCAUACUAAAAUCAGAAGUAUACACAAGAAAUUAAUAAAAUUUUAAAAAAUGUACAAAACAAUUAUGAAAAAUAAAUAUGAUAUACAGCAACAAUCACCGCAUUAGUGGGUCCUCACUAUGGACUGGUACAUACAGAAUGUGGCGGCUUAAACAUCUUAACUGGCACAAAACUCUCCCCUAACAUAGGACAGUGUAUGUGUAUAAUCUCAG